AACUGCCUGAUGGAGGGGGAUAACUACUGGAAACGGUAGCUAAUACCGCAUAACGUCGCAAGACCAAAGAGGGGGACCUUCGGGCCUCUUGCCAUCGGAUGUGCCCAGAUGGGAUUAGCUAGUAGGUGGGGUAAAGGCUCACCUAGGCGACGAUCCCUAGCUGGUCUGAGAGGAUGACCAGCCACACUGGAACUGAGACACGGUCCAGACUCCUACGGGAGGCAGCAGUGGGGAAUAUUGCACAAUGGGCGCAAGCCUGAUGCAGCCAUGCCGCGUGUAUGAAGAAGGCCUUCGGGUUGUAAAGUACUUUCAGCGGGGAGGAAGGGAGUAAAGUUAAUACCUUUGCUCAUUGACGUUACCCGCAGAAGAAGCACCGGCUAACUCCGUGCCAGCAGCCGCGGUAAUACGGAGGGUGCAAGCGUUAAUCGGAAUUACUGGGCGUAAAGCGCACGCAGGCGGU
rnacentral:rRNA from 1 species